AGCAAAUCCAAACUGCAAUAAGGAAUCAUUCAAUUACUACUUUUGAACGACACCGUUUUGGAUUGCGCAGACCUCUCUCUCUCUCCCAUGGCCACCGUCGGGCUUCUUCGGUCUCUCCGCCGCCGAGAAGUCUACGUAGUUUCUGUCUCUUCGGCGUAUAGAUUCAGUUCUGCUAGCGCCGGCGGGAGGACGACGGAGCUCCGGUUACCCGGAGUCAAAGAUAUAAUCGCCGUUGCGUCUGGUAAAGGCGGAGUAGGAAAGUCUUCGACUGCUGUGAACUUAGCUGUUGCAUUGGCCAACAAGUGUGGACUGAAGAUUGGAUUGCUUGAUGCUGAUGUGUAUGGACCUUCUGUUCCUAUCAUGAUGAAUAUCAGUCAAAAGCCUCAAGUCAACCAAGAUAUGAAGAUGAUUCCGGUGGAGAACUAUGGAGUUAAAUGCAUGUCAAUGGGACUCCUUGUAGACAAAGAUGCACCACUUGUGUGGAGAGGUCCUAUGGUAAUGAGUGCUCUUGCUAAGAUGACAAGAGGAGUAGAUUGGGGAGAUCUCGAUGUUCUUGUUGUUGAUAUGCCACCUGGAACCGGUGAUGCUCAGAUUACCAUAUCCCAAAAUCUUAAACUCUCAGGUGCUGUAAUUGUAUCAACUCCACAAGAUGUUGCGCUCGCUGAUGCUAAUCGAGGGAUCUCCAUGUUCGAUAAAGUUAGAGUACCUAUUUUGGGACUUGUGGAGAACAUGAGUUGCUUCGUCUGUCCUCAUUGUAAUGAAGCUUCUUUCAUAUUUGGGAAAGAAGGAGCACGGCAGAUGGCUGCAAAGAAGGGUUUGAAACUCAUCGGUGAGAUUCCACUGGAAAUGAAGAUCAGAGAAGGUUCUGAUGAAGGUGUCCCUGUGGUUGUUUCUUCACCUGGUUCUGUAGUAUCAAAAGCUUAUGAAGAUCUAGCUCAAAACGUGGUGAAUGCAUUGAAGGAGCUACGGGAUAAUCCAGAGAAUGAAAUUCAGAUGAAACUUAACGUUCCACAUUCUAGCGGAUCAUCAUAGAACAACAAGCCAUGAGAGCCAGAGGCACAAAACCCAAGUUUGUCUUGCUGAGAUACAAGAGAAGAAUGUAUCUGCAGAGGACAAAGGAAAGAGAGACAAGUUGAUGAAUCCAAAUAAGAAAUGCAUGUCACAGCAAACAUUCUAUGUGCCGAGUAAGACAUGUUGAGAUGACUUCACAAUGUAAGAUGGGAUAGAAAAAAAUUGUAUUUUCAGUAUCUUCUCCACAUACAAAAGAAAAAAUCAUUUUUUGCAUUACCAAAACAAUAUCUUUGUUAUAAAGAAUAGUCAGAUGUCAUGGACACCAGUACAUUUAUAAACAAUGUUCAAUAAGAAUUUUUUUUUG